CCUGGCCAAAAAUUGCAUAUUGCACAGUGUACAACUGGCUAUCACUGCAUUUGUCGGAUAAAUAGGAAAUGGGAUAUAUUAAUCCAGUAGUGAGCAGGGAGUGCACUUGUUAACUUGUCAGUGGUGGCUAAAAAUAAGUGUUUAGGUCUGAAGUAGCAGUAACAGCUAAAUGUGAGUUAUGACUAUUGUCGUUUUUCAGCUGCUAGGCGAAAGCAACGCCUUGUUUUUGCUGUAUCCCUCAUAUCCUCUGAACAAGUUUUCCAUGGAGCUCAAAGGAACCUUCUACCCAUGCCUUAAAUGUGUGCUUUCUACUCCAGACCUGAAAAAGAAACCAAAUAUCUAUCCUCUAAACUGGAUUUCCAAAGAAUUUCCAAAAACCCAUGUGCUGUCCAAAAAAAAACAACACACCAAACCAAACCAACCAACCAACCAAAAAAAAAAAACAACAGGAAGAGAAACUGCGAGAGAUGGUGAAAUGCAGGCUCUGGAGGAGCUAGCAGGAAUGUCUCCAGCCACUCCUCCUGGGGUACAUUUCACAGGCACUUUUGAACAGUUGGCUUUUGACUUCAAAAGAGAGGGAAACAAAUGAGAAGAAAUGGUUUCAGGAAAGGAGAUCUCUGUCCCUCCGUGCAGCCUGAUCCGCUGAGGCAUCCCGGCAGGGAACAAACGUCCAGCUGGGAAGCCGAAGUGUUGAGCUCCCCAGAAAGAUCUGAAGAGAUGGUUGAUGCAAAGAGCAAAAGUUGCGUGAUGUGAAGGAAGGAAGAAGCCAAAGAAAAGCCAGAGAAGGCUUUUUAGCCUGCAGCUUUCCUCUCCCUUGAUCUGACCUGAAGCACAAGUUGAGGCUCUUGUGAAUCCAUUGGGAUCUGCCCCCUUUUGUGCCGUGCAAGCUGCACGCACGAGCUGAGGUUUGCCUUUCCUGCUGUGCUUUGUGGGGCCAAUCCAAAAUAGCUCAGGGCCAGAUUUCUAAGAAUUCAGCACCGGCAGCCAGGGCCGAGCGAGGAAGUCAAGAGCGAUCUUAAUGUAAUGAGUAGGGCUGGCACAGCUCGCCACGCAGACGUUCCAGAGAGCAGCUCCCUCGCUGGUGCUGCUCCAGCUCUGCCGAUGCCAGGGGAAGGAUGCGAAUUUACAGCCGCUGAGGAUCUGCCACCCUCAGGCUCGCUGCUGGUCAAAACUCCUCCUGGAUGGCACCCAAAUCAGGGUGGGGUUCCCUGCCACUACAGAGCCCAUGCUUCUACCUCUGAGAGGCACUGGCAGGAAGAGAUGAAGGAGUUCAGCCUGCCCAAACUGUCCCGCUUGGGGUGAAGAACUCUGCCCUCUUCUUGGGGAAUUCCUGGCUCUGGAUUGUUGGACCCUCUGCACGAUCCUGCAUUGUGGAGUCCUAUACUGUUAAUGCUUCUAGGCAGUUGAAGCCCAGCAUCCUUUUGUUCUUGGUGCAUGGGAUGUGUGAUGCAUUGACUCAGCCUUUUACUCAAAGUCUGUAUAAGUAGUAAAGCCAGCAGGAGCACCAGACUGCAUGCUUUGGCUAACUUGAAUUGUGUGUGCUAACAUCUGAUCCAGAUUCCUUGUUAAUAGACAUGGAAACAUGGCCUCAUUGUUCAGCUCGCAGAACAAUGAACCUAUAAACGUGGGACAGCAUAAAAUUUUAUAGAAAGAGGUGGAGGGCCAAGAGCAUCUUAAAGCGGAGUGUGCUGAUGGGUCUUGAAAAAGAAGUUCAAGAAGAUAUGUUAAAAGGAUGAGAGGAUGCUGUAGAUUUCUGCAUUUGAUCUGCUGAAUUUCCACCUGAAUUUUGAUCCCAUGGUUCAGGCUGAAGCUUUCCUUACUUCUGCAGAGACUGCCCCCAACAUCAGCAGAUCCACCUGAGCCAUCAGCCAUAUGUGGGCCAACAGUGGGGAAAGUGAUCCUGUACCACCUUUGCAGGCACGUCAUGAAGGUAGAUUUGAUUAUAACGUAUGUGCUUCUGCCUCUUCGGAGGAAGGCAUCUGGGUUGCAGUACCAGAGCCAUGGGAAAAGCUUUGCUCAAGCAAGCAAGCAGAGUGCCCAUCUCGAGUCUCUGGAGAACUGGGGUCUGACGUUGCAAACCCUUCUGCCCAAGUGGGUGAGCACCCCGUGCACCCAAGGUCCCGUCAUACACAAGAGAGAGUGAAGCAUGGGAUGUCCUCAGAUGUGCUGCCUUUCUGCAGUUUCUCUUCUUCCUUCUUCAAAUGAAUUUAGCUCAGGAGCAGUUCUAGAUGUGAUCCUGACCUCAGGAGAGACACUUAAAUGUAAAGACGAAGGAAACUCCAGGCUGGGCCCAGUCCUGUAUUUCAGGAGAGGCUUGUUUCUGCUCAAGCACAAAUCUGGUGAGACAAGUUUUUUUCCCAAGGCAGGUUGUUUGCAAACUUUGGAGCCCAAAAGGUGCAGCUGCUCUAAAAAUAACACAGAAUACAAGAACUGGUUUGGGAAGGUUUCACUCUGCCCAAGUCCAGAGGCAUCUCCUGAAAUGCUGCCAUUAGGGGAGAAGUUUGCCUUGUAAACAGAGCCGGCCUAAUUUCUAGAGGUGCUGAACGUCGACCUGCAGUGCCCGCUGGUAAGUCUUGAGCACAAGAAACCUGGAAACGGGGCAAUUUUUAGUGGCCGGGAUUUUAUCAGGAACGCGUCUGGGCAAAUCCAUGAUGACUGCGUUGAAAGAAGAGAACACUAAUUGCCCCUCAGCUAGCGACCACCGCAAGCAGAGCUGGGCACCCGGGCUCCAGGAGACCUGCCAGCUCCUGGGCUUCUUGCUGCCACCGACAAAGUAAGACUUCACUCACAGUCAUGGGCUGUACGUGCAUGAAUCACCUUCUUGUCUGGCCAUUCUUUGCAGGGUGACAUCCCCAGUGACCUGGUGCCCAGCUUCCAGAGGAGGCCAGCAGCCUUGCUGUCCAGGUGCAGAAGCCCCUGGAAGGUUUUUCGCGGAGAUCAACGAGGGAGAAACCUGGCUGCAGAGCCCUGAGCACAGCUGGGACUGAUCACAGGCGAGAACCUCAGCAGUGCCCCCUCGCCCACGCUAGAUGUGAUGCUGGGUGAGGUGUGCCUUGCACAGAGCAUAGACGUAACCUUCUCUAUUUUUGAUUUGCUGGAUCUUUAAAACAUACAAGGUUGUAUCUACCACUGAAUUAAGCAGUGUUUGCUUUUCAAACCUUCCACAUUUGUAUUUUUAGCUCCAUUUUGGCAUUGACUUUUUUGGUUGGAAUAUAUAACACACUCAGUUAUUUAGCGUGCCUGGACCGAAUUCAGCCUAUGUGUAACUCCAUGGGCUUGAGCAGAAGCUACGUUCAAGGUAAAUUACUCUCUAUGGGGCUAAGGAAAUACAGCUUCUGUAGAAAUGCAUUUCAGCUCCUUCAGUAAAUGCUACACUAUUUCCAUCCAUGGUUAUUCCGUUGUGGUUUGGGUUAUGUAUUUACAUUUUACGGAAUAAAUACUACAGCUUUCCCCAUGACUAACACUUCUUAGUAACCAAUAAGCUACUCAAAUACGCUGUUGCCUCCUACAAGAGCCUAAACCACAUCGCUCUCCACUGGCUUUCUGUCCCCAGCUGGCCACCUCCUUGCACAGAGGCAUGGUUAACCAGCAUUACAUAAGUAACUUUUUGGAUCUCGCUUUAACGGGACGGCUUCCUAGAGGAGGCACUGGAUGCUGUGGGACUGAAUUCCUCAGCGACAAACAUUUCCAACGCAGCCGCUGUCUGAUCCUACCAAAAUCUGACUGAGGUCUUCAGGCGAGGAGAGUAACAUCUUGCUGCUGCUCCCACAAAGAGGCAGCGAGUUGCUUUUCCAUAUCCAGAGGUCUGUUUUAAGAGCAGUGUUGUACAGGCCCUUGCGUAAACUUUGCUUUUAGACUGGAAUAUUUUCAAUGAAAAUGUUAUUCGACUUUAAAAAGUUGCACAGCAGCUACUCCAAAAAUUGUUUUCCCUUGUUAAGAAUAACACACAGUGUGAUACAUUUGAAAUGGUGAUAGCAAUAUUUCACAAAUUUUGAUGGAUUCAUAGUCCAAAUACCUUGCUAACAGAUGUUUCUUUUAAACUCGGAGUGGUAUAGGAAUAACUCAGAGAUACUACAGUGUCAGCACUGCCUUUUAUCUGCGUGUGUCCUCUCAGUGACAUCCCUGCGCUUUUGUAAUGCACGGGUCAGGUCUGAGCUAAAAAAAAAAAAAAAAAAGUGAAAUAUUAAAGGAAGUCCUAUCUGCUGGCUGUGUGAGCUUUGGGGCAGUGCCUCAGGGCUGUGAGGAAGCUGACGCGCGCUGCCCCGCUCUCGCUCUGUGCUUGGGCACGGCGGCCUGGUGGUUUGUGGGACUCUGCUGCUUUCCACUCAUCAUUUCUCAGCUGGCUCUUGGUUGUGGUUCAUCUAUGAACUGCGGAGUCCCCAUGGCCAACCCUCUGACCGUAUCUUUUGGUCUUACGAUUUUACUAACCUUUCCCUCUGUGGAUGAUACCUUGUCCAACCCAGAGGGAUACCUCAGCAAGGCAAAGGAAUGGUAUUUUAACACCCUGGCAGAGCUCUCCCUUCUUUAUCACAGGGUUGUUUCACUCUGCCUCUUGUCAUUUUGUAGCAUCCUGUCCUCUCCCAGGAGCUGCCUCCUCCAUGCCUUGCUCACAGCGUGCCCAGUUGAUGUGUGACAGACCCCUCUGUCCCCAGACCCCAUCAGGGAACAACCUUGAGCCCUGGGACGCCUGGCUUACACUCUUAACCCAAAAUCUGGCUCUGCGAAGCAAUCUUUGGUAAUGCUGGAGUUGAGCUGUGCGACAGGAGCAUCCUUCCUCCAGGUGAGCCUGUUGGUAGCCCUCCGUGGCCACGUGCAGCCCGUGCUGGCUUGAGAAGGUGCCUGCCUCGUGUCCUUGUGGGGUCAAGGAACGUGGCCUGGUGGGAAGUGUGCAGCCAGCCUCAUUCUUGCUGCCCGGGGGGGAACAGGGAAGAGAAGGGAGAGAAAAUCCAGAGGGCAGGUGGGGACCGAAGGCAGGGAUAAUCUGUGGGCCUGCCGGCGGGCUGCAGCCCCGCGUGUCCCCAGGGGAGCCUCGCUGUGCCCAAAGGGUGCAAGAAGGGG